rnacentral:rRNA from 1 species
AUGAAUAUCGUCGAGAAGCUUAUCAUUCUCCGGGUUUGGCAGUGCCUCAUCUGCUGCCUCAUCGAACGCCUCGUCCCAAAUCUUCAUUUUCUCAGGCCCAAGCCGCUUCUCGAGUUUCUCGCCAUCAGCAUUGUCACCCAAGAAGAUCUUUUCCUGCUCGUUGACGUCAGCAGGCCGACGGCCACCGUCCCGGCCACCUCCGCGGCCCCCACGCCCCCCUCUCCCGCGUCCACCGCCAGUAUCGCCACGGCCAAGGAGCUCCAAAGCACGCUUCACAGCCUCCUGUGGCGCCAAUUUCGGCUGCCCGCUUGGAGCCGACGGGGCCGGAGCUUUCCUUGCCCCACGACUUCGAACGAAGCGGUUCUCCUCGGGGGCCCUGUCCACCGGUGGCUGCACACGCGGCACGCCGCGGCCGGCGCCGGAGGUAGGGAUCGAACGCGGCGGCUCGGAUGA